rnacentral:misc_RNA from 1 species
GAUGAAGAACGUAGCGAAAUGCGAUACGUAGUGUGAAUUGCAGAAUUCAGUGAAUCAUCGAAUCUUUGAACGCACAUUGCACCUCUCGGUAUUCCGGGAGGUAUGCCUGUUCGAGCGUCAUUUGUACCCUCAAGCUCUGCUUGGUGUUGGGUGUUUGUUCCGCCUCUGUGUGUGAACUCGCCUCAAAACAAUUGGCAGCCGGCGUACUUGUUUCGGAGCGCAGCACAUUUUGCGAUCCAGAUCAACGUACAGCGGCAUCCAAGAAGCCUUAUUUAACGCUCUUGACCUCGGAUCAGGUAGGAAUACCCGCUGAACUUAAGCAUAUCAAUAAGCGGAGGA